UGACUGGCAGAUAGCUUGCUAUCAGCCACAGGCUAUCAGCUAUUGGUCGGUUAGUGGCAAACGGGUGAGUAACACGUGGGUGACCUGCCCCGAAGAGGGGGGCAACUGUUGGAAACGACAGCUAAUACCCCAUAUGCUCUGCGGUGUUAGAGGACCACAGAGGAAAGUUCCGACGCUUCGGGAGGGGCCUGCGGCCUAUCAGCUAGUUGGUGAGGUAAUGGCUUACCAAGGCUAUGACGGGUAGGGGGCCUGAGAGGGUGUUCCCCCACACUGGCACUGAGACACGGGCCAGACUCCUACGGGGGGCAGCAGUGAGGAAUAUUGCUCAAUGGGCGCAAGCCUGAAGCAGUGACGCCGCGUGGAGGAUGAAGGCCUUCGGGCUGUAAACUCCUUUUCCAGAGGACGAGGAAGGACGGUACUCUGGGAAUAAGCCCCGGCUAACUACGUGCCAGCAGCCGCGGUAAUACGUAGGGGGCGAGCGUUAUCCGGAUUCAUUGGGCGUAAAGAGCUCGUAGGU
rnacentral:rRNA from 1 species